rnacentral:lncRNA from 1 species
AUAUCUUCGAGGCUUUUCCCCACUUUCUCCUCUAUAAGUUUCAAAUUUCUUUCUUAGCCUGUUUAUCCUUUGUGUCCCACUCCCACUUUUUGGCCCUGGCGUUCCCCUGUACUGUGGCAUAUAAAGUUUGCAAGUCCAAUGGGCCUCUCUUUCCAGUGAUGGCCGACUAGGACAUCUUUUGAUAUUUCUUUAAGUGCGUUAUUAAAGUCGUUCUUGAUGUCCUCUACCAUCAUCAUGAGAUAUGCCUUUAAAUCCGGGUCCAGCUUUUCGGGUGUGUUGGGGUACCUCGGACUGGCUGAAGUGGGAGUGCUGGGUUCUGAUGAUGAGAAGGUGCAUAGAUAUCUACUGUGCAGACUAGUCUUGGAGGGAUCCUGGAAGGAAGAUGGCUCCCUCGGAUGCUAAGGCAAAGCCCUCCCGUGCGGAGUGGACACCUGUCUUCUGGCAGGGAAGGUGCCCGGUUAUCUGAAGCCUGUGCAGACUAGUCUUGGCAGGAUCCAGGAACCAAGAUGUCCGGCAGAUGUUCCAGCAACAGCUUCCCAGGCCGGGCGGACACCUCUCCUCUGGCAGGGAAGGUGCCUGGAUAGCUGAAAUAGACAUUUCCAUUUGCUUAAUAAAGUAUAUAUUCUACAUG